rnacentral:rRNA from 1 species
AGAGUUUGAUCCUGGCUCAGGAUGAACGCUGGCGGCGUGCUUAACACAUGCAAGUCGAGCGGGAAUUAGUUAGGUGCUUGCACCUAACUAAUUUUAGCGGCGGUUUAGCGGCGGACGGGUGAGUAACGCGUGGGUAACCUGCCUUAUACAGGGGGAUAACAUAUUGAAAAGUAUGCUAAUACCGCAUAAGCGCACAAUAUCGCAUGAUAUGGUGUGAAAAGCUGAGACGGUAUAAGAUGGACCCGCGUCUGAUUAGCUAGUAGGUGAGGUAAUGGCUCACCUAGGCGACGAUCAGUAGCCGACCUGAGAGGGUGAUCGGCCACAUUGGGACUGAGACACGGCCCAAACUCCUACGGGAGGCAGCAGUGGGGAAUAUUGCACAAUGGGGGAAACCCUGAUGCAGCGACGCCGCGUGAAGGAUGAAGGUUUUCGGAUCGUAAACUUCUAUCAGCAGGGACGAUAAUGACGGUACCUGACUAAGAAGCCCCGGCUAACUACGUGCCAGCAGCCGCGGUAAUACGUAGGGGGCAAGCGUUAUCCGGAAUUACUGGGUGUAAAGGGUGCGUAGGCGGUAAUGUAAGUCAGGUGUGAAAGCCCGAAGCUCAACUUCGGGAUUGCACUUGAAACUACAUAACUAGAGUACAGGAGAGGUGAGUGGAAUUCCUAGUGUAGCGGUGAAAUGCGUAGAUAUUAGGAGGAACACCAGUGGCGAAGGCGACUCACUGGACUGUAACUGACGCUGAGGCACGAAAGCGUGGGGAGCGAACAGGAUUAGAUACCCUGGUAGUCCACGCUGUAAACGAUGAGUGCUAGGUGUAGAGGGUAUCGACCCCUUCUGUGCCGCAGUUAACACAAUAAGCACUCCGCCUGGGGAGUACGGUCGCAAGACUGAAACUCAAAGGAAUUGACGGGGGCCCGCACAAGCAGCGGAGCAUGUGGUUUAAUUCGACGCAACGCGAAGAACCUUACCAGGACUUGACAUCCCUCGCAAUCUGUAGAAAUAUGGAGUUAGUUCCCUUCGGGGACGAGGAGACAGGUGGUGCACGGUUGUCGUCAGCUCGUGUCGUGAGAUGUUGGGUUAAGUCCCGCAACGAGCGCAACCCUUGUCCUUAGUUGCCAGCAUGAAAGAUGGGCACUCUAGGGAGACUGCCGGAGAUAAUUCGGAGGAAGGUGGGGAUGACGUCAAAUCAUCAUGCCCCUUAUGUCCUGGGCUACACACGUGCUACAAUGGGCUGAACAGAGGGAAGCGAGACCGCGAGGUGGAGCCAAUCCCAUAAAACAGCUCUCAGUUCAGAUCGUAGGCUGCAACUCGCCUACGUGAAGAUGGAGUUGCUAGUAAUCGCGGAUCAGCAUGCCGCGGUGAAUGCGUUCCCGGGCCUUGUACACACCGCCCGUCACACCACGAGAGUUAGCAACACCCGACGUCGGUGAGC